rnacentral:ncRNA from 2 species
UAUCUUUGCGCCGUGUUAGAGUAACACAUACAUAAAAAUCAUUUAAACAAUAUUGGCAUG